rnacentral:rRNA from 1 species
AGUGAACGCUGGCGGUAGGCCUAACACAUGCAAGUCGAACGGCAGCACAGUAAGAGCUUGUUCUUACGGGUGGCGAGUGGCGGACGGGUGAGGAAUACAUCGGAAUCUACUUUUUCUUGGGGGAUAACGUAGGGAAACUUACGCUAAUACCGCAUACGACCUACGGGUGAAAGCAGGGGAUCUUCGGACCUUGCGCGAUUGAAUGAGCCGAUGUCGGAUUAGCUAGUUGGCGGGGUAAAGGCCCACCAAGGCGACGAUCCGUAGCUGGUCUGAGAGGAUGAUCAGCCACACUGGAACUGAGACACGGUUCAGACUCCUACGGGAGGCAGCAGUGGGGAAUAUUGGACAAUGGGCGCAAGCCUGAUCCAGCCAUACCGCGUGGGUGAAGAAGGCCUUCGGGUUGUAAAGCCCUUUUGUUGGGAAAGAAAAGCAGCAGGUUAAUACCCCGCUGUUCUGACGGUACCCAAAGAAUAAGCACCGGCUAACUUCGUG